CCUGCCUGCCUGCCUGCUUGCUCUCUGGCUGUGCUCUUGCUUAAAGAAAUCAGUCCUUCCUUUCCGACUUAGUCCUCGGGAAGAAGUUUCAGACUACAAGGUAUCACUGGAACAUUUCAAGAUCAUCAAAUCAAAUUCCACAGGGAUUGGUGAUCAACCAGAAGGCUCAGACAUCUGAUUGCUGACCUGUCCAGACAUCAACUGGUCUCCCUGAACCUGAAAUCACACCAUGGAUGAUUUUGAACGUCGCAGAGAACUUAGAAGGCAAAAGAGGGAGGAGAUGCGACUCGAAGCAGAAAGAAUCGCCUACCAGAGGAAUGAUGAUGAUGAAGAAGAGGCAGCCCGGGAACGGCGCCGCCGAGCCCGACAGGAACGGCUGCGGCAGAAGCAGGAGGAAGAAUCCUUGGGACAGGUGACCGACCAGGUGGAGGUGAAUGCCCAGAACAGUGUGCCUGACGAGGAGGCCAAGACAACCACCACAAACACUCAAGUGGAAGGGGAUGAUGAGGCCGCAUUCCUGGAGCGCCUGGCUCGGCGAGAGGAAAGACGCCAAAAACGCCUUCAGGAGGCUCUGGAGCGGCAGAAGGAGUUCGAUCCAACAAUAACAGAUUCAAGUCUGUCGCUCCCAAACAGAAGAAUGCAAAAUGACACAGCAGAAAACGAAACUGCCGAGAAGGAAGAAAAAAGUGAAAGUUGCCAAGAAAGAUACGAGAUAGAGGAAACAGAAACAGUCACCAAGUCCUACCAGAAGAAUGACUGGAGGGAUGCUGAAGAAAACAAGAAAGAAGACAAGGAAAAGGAGGAGGAGGAAGAGGAGAAGCCAAAGCGAGGGAGCAUUGGAGAAAAUCAGAUCAAAGAUGAAAAGAUUAAAAAGGACAAAGAACCCAAAGAAGAAGUUAAAAGCUUCAUGGAUAGAAAGAAGGGAUUUACAGAAGUUAAGUCGCAGAAUGGAGAAUUCAUGACUCACAAACUUAAACAUACUGAGAAUACUUUCAGCCGCCCUGGAGGGAGGGCCAGCGUGGACACCAAGGAGGCUGAAGGCGCCCCCCAGGUGGAAGCUGGCAAAAGGCUGGAGGAGCUUCGUCGUCGUCGCGGGGAGACCGAGAGCGAAGAGUUCGAGAAGCUCAAACAGAAGCAGCAGGAGGCGGCUUUGGAGCUGGAGGAACUCAAGAAAAAGAGGGAGGAGAGAAGGAAGGUCCUGGAGGAGGAAGAGCAGAGGAGGAAGCAGGAGGAAGCCGAUCGAAAACUCAGAGAGGAGGAAGAGAAGAGGAGGCUAAAGGAAGAGAUUGAAAGGCGAAGAGCAGAAGCUGCUGAGAAACGCCAGAAGAUGCCAGAAGAUGGCUUGUCAGAUGACAAGAAACCAUUCAAGUGUUUCACUCCUAAAGGUUCAUCUCUCAAGAUAGAAGAGCGAGCAGAAUUUUUGAAUAAGUCUGUGCAGAAAAGCAGUGGUGUCAAAUCGACCCAUCAAGCAGCAGUAGUCUCCAAGAUUGACAGCAGACUGGAGCAGUAUACCAGUGCAAUUGAGGGAACAAAAAGCGCAAAACCUACAAAGCCGGCAGCCUCGGAUCUUCCUGUUCCUGCUGAAGGCGUACGCAACAUCAAGAGUAUGUGGGAGAAAGGGAAUGUGUUUUCAUCCCCCACUGCAGCAGGCACACCAAAUAAGGUGAGCAUCUGAUUUUUGUCUUUUAAGUGUAGAGGGGCAUAUUUUUUUGCAUGUCGAUUUUGAUUUAGGAAUCACACUAGUAAAUAAUAAAAGCAGUGAAGAAGGUGCAAUUUGUACUUUGUUUUGCAAUGACCACAAAAGCAAGCUCAGAGAGAAUGUGUUCAUGAGGUUGCACGAGGUACUAAGCCCGGGCCAUCUUACUCCAAAUAAAGUGCCUGAGUUGAAAUGUCCACCCUUGGAGUUGGAGUCGGGUGAGUUACAAGGGAAAGAAAACCAGAUAACAUAUUCUGUAAAUAUCAAGUGUUAAGGUUUAUGGUUAUGUGAAAUCAUACUUAAUGAUAUUUUGAAUUUGCUUUGAAAAUUCCUUCCCAGGUAAAGUUUACUUCAUUCUUUAAUAUUUUGGAUGAUUGCCCCUUUGUAGGAAACUGCUGGCUUGAAGGUAGGGGUUUCUAGCCGCAUCAAUGAAUGGCUAACUAAAACCCCAGAUGGAAACAAGUCACCUGCUCCCAAACCUUCUGUAAGUACCUUCAGGUUUUUCUGAGUUUCUUUGAUCUCCCAGCUUCUACCAGCAGAAGAAAAUAAGCAGUUGGUCUGUUUACCUAGGAAUGGCAGUGCUCCUGUUCUUUGCUUUCCCUGAUGAAUAACAAACAGGAAAGUGUUCAGAUUUACAACAGUUCUAAGAAGCUGCAUCUCAGUUACUCAGAGGGUAAAAUGGAACCAAAUAAUCACCUCCACACCCUAACUGAGAGGAGGAAUCAGCUAGAAUAUUAAGGCAGUUCAAAUUUAGAUCCUUUACUCGUCUAUUUGUUUAGCUUCUAUUCUAUAAAUUCUGGAUAGAAAUUUGAAAAUGAAAGGUCAAAUCAUUUUGGCUACUUCUUUGUCAAGAGCACCCCUAAACUUAUUCCCAAAAGAAUAUGUAUGUUGCCUAUUGGGAACCCAUAUGUUCCAAUUUGCCUAAUUUUUAUAACUUGGCACAAAAAUGCAGUUAUUGGGUAGUUGUUGAAAUAAUUGGUCUAAUUGUGUUGUCAACACCUCCUGAGGAAAGUCAUAAAACUGGAAACUAGAAAAACUGGUUAUGAAUGAUGUUUUUGAGAAUCUAAAAUUUUCUUAAUUUAUUAAGUGCAGCUAUCUUACUAAACAGUACGUUUCUUUUCACCUUUUCGUUGAAUAUAUACGACAAUUGCUUGCAUUUGUCAUUAUAAUAAGAAAACGUAUCAAGCUCCCCCUGUAUAUUGCUGAGCUUUCCCUGUUAAGUUUGCUUUUAUAGCUUUGUUGGUGCCCAAGGGAGCUGAGAGUCCACUGUCAUAAUCCUACAUUCUGGAGGAAGAAGAAAAACUUUCCAAUCCUAGGCCUCUGUGCAUUUAAUUGCAUCCAUUGGCUCCAUGCCAUUUAAUUGCAUUCGUUGGCUCCAUAUAUAAUCUCCAAAGUCAUUAAAUUUUGUCACUUUCCAAUUUAAAAAGGAAGAAAUGGAAAUGUUCACAAAUCCUUCUUGGGCACAACUCCUUGAACCAUUUAAUUAAUCUACACCCCGAGAUUCUUUGCAUAAAGGCUCACAGGAGGUAUAAACUAAUGUCAACCCAAUUUACAAUUGGAAAGUCUUUAUACAUUGAAAAAAGCAACUUUUCCUCCCCCUCUCAAUAGGUACAAGAAUGGGAGUUUAUAAAAGGACACAGUUGAGGCAAGAGACUGGACCCAAAAGUUAUGUGCUCUUUAGCGCCUCGAAUUUUCCAAGCAUCUCUGGUAACAUAAGGAGUAGAAAUUAUUUUCAAAUACAAAACAAACAAAGCCAUGGCAAUGUAUAUAAGUUUUGUGGUUCCAGACCAGUGAUUAUUAACCCUUUUUGAAUUAUGAACCCCUUUAAAACCUAAUGAAAUUUAAGGACCCUCUCCCCCAAAAUAUACAUAUAAAAAAACAAGGCAGUCAAUGGAUCUACUGAGUAACUCUCAAGAUAGUAAGUAAGGAGAGAAAGAUCUAUGUUUCACUCUUCGAUAAGUAUGAAAUAUUUGGAGGAGAUGCUAAUUUUUGCACGUUUAUGAUAUUUGCAAUCUUUCAUUUUUGUAGCAGAUUAUACUCAAAAAUUUGAUCCAGAACUUGGCCCCUAUUCUUUUAUCAGCACUUUAACUUGUAAACUUAAAAGUUUACCAUCAUCUGUAUGACAUCCUAAUGAGGUUAAAAAGAUAAAAUUCAGUUAUUAUUAUGAUAGGUAUAACUGUAUCCAGGUUUCCACAGCAAAAACAAAACAAAACAAAACAUACACCAUGUUCUGGGGCUAUUGACAGCCUCCUAAAAAAAAAAAAAAAAAAA
rnacentral:sRNA from 1 species